rnacentral:tRNA from 1 species
GCAUAUGUCUUGAAAACAUAAGAAAGGAGUAAACUCUUCUAUUAAUUU